rnacentral:rRNA from 1 species
CUAAUACCCAAUGAUAUCUCUAGAAGGCAUCUGAAAGAGAUUAAAGAUUUAUCGGUGAUGGAUGGGGAUGCGUCUGAUUAGCUUGUUGGCGGGGUAACGGCCCACCAAGGCAACGAUCAGUAGGGGUUCUGAGAGGAAGGUCCCCCACAUUGGAACUGAGACACGGUCCAAACUCCUACGGGAGGCAGCAGUGAGGAAUAUUGGUCAAUGGACGAGAGUCUGAACCAGCCAAGUAGCGUGCAGGAAGACGGCCCUAUGGGUUGUAAACUGCUUUUAUAAGGGAAUAAAGUGAGUCUCGUGAGACUUUUUGCAUGUACCUUAUGAAUAAGGACCGGCUAAUUCCGUGCCAGCAGCCGCGGUAAUACGGAAGGUCCGGGCGUUAUCCGGAUUUAUUGGGUUUAAAGGGAGCGUAGGCCGGAGAUUAAGCGUGUUGUGAAAUGUAGAUGCUCAACAUCUGAACUGCAGCGCGAACUGGUUUCCUUGAGUACGCACAAAGUGGGCGGAAUUCGUGGUGUAGCGGUGAAAUGCUUAGAUAUCACGAAGAACUCCGAUUGCGAAGGCAGCUCACUGGAGCGCAACUGACGCUGAAGCUCGAAAGUGCGGGUAUCGAACAGGAUUAGAUACCCUGGUAGUCCGCACGGUAAACGAUAGAUGCCCGCUGUUGGUCUGAAUAGGUCAAGCGGCCA